rnacentral:rRNA from 1 species
UGGGGAAUAUUGCACAAUGGGCGCAAGCCUGAUGCAGCCAUGCCGCGUGUGUGAAGAAGGCCUUCGGGUUGUAAAGCACUUUCAGCGGGGAGGAAGGCGUUAAGGUUAAUAACCUUGGCGAUUGACGUUACCCGCAGAAGAAGCACCGGCUAACUCCGUGCCAGCAGCCGCGGUAAUACGGAGGGUGCAAGCGUUAAUCGGAAUUACUGGGCGUAAAGCGCACGCAGGCGGUCUGUCAAGUCGGAUGUGAAAUCCCCGGGCUCAACCUGGGAACUGCAUGCGAAACUGGCAGGCUAGAGUAUUGUAGAGGGGGGUAGAAGUCCAGGUGUAGCGGUGAAAUGCGUAGAGAUCUGGGGGAAUACCGGUGGCGAAGGCGGCCCCCUGGACAAAGACUGACGCUCAGGUGCGAAAGCGUGGGGAGCAAACAGG